UAUACAUCAUAUACACGCGGGUGUGGGGAGACUAUUGAAAAGACACCAGUUAUCACCACAACUCUGUGUUUACUGUGAGCUGACCAAUGGGAGGAGGGAUAAAUUAUAGGCGUUCACGUGCAGCAGGAUCCAGGCUGCAGCAGGUGCUGCUGAGUGUCUGAUGAUGUCACCGGGGGUAUAAAACGCACGGCUGCCGCUCCAGUUUCAUUCACCUUUUCAUUAACCGGAGGACCCGAACAGCGCAGAGAGUCCAGCCUUUGGUCACACUCAGCACCGAGAUGAAUAAGAUGUGUUUAGCUCACCUUGGAGUUUUCCUCCUGGCUCUCCAUCUCCUCUCAUCACAGGUGGUCCAGGCUCAGGCAGGCAAAAAUAUGACCAGUAUGUCCAACUCGACAUCCUACAACAUGACUACCAUGGGCCCGGUGAACGUGACGUCCGCAGAUAAGAACGGCUCUGGGAGUAUCGACGCCUUCACAAUGCUCCUCCCGCUGGCUGUCAUAGCUUCUCUCCUCUACGGCUGGUCCCAAUGACCGGACUGAUGGCUCUUGGCACUGGACACAGACCUGCCAAGACUGGCUGGGGCUGGACUGGGGACGCAACGUUAUUCCAAGAGCAGUUCUCUUUAAAAAAAAAAAAAAAGCCCUGUCCAUAAACGCAUUUUGGAUUUCACCAAAGCAUUUUGCCUGUCCUCAUUUUGGGAAUUUGUGUUUGAAAGAAGCGUGCACUCUGGGCAAUGGCAGCCCAGAGUGCGUGUCCGUCCUCACGCACCGACCGGUGACGCGCCCCGCUGCUCUCGUCCUGUCCCGCUGAUCUUUGCAGGGUCCCUCCAUGGACUAUAUCAAAACUUCCCCUUUUCCAGGAAACCGCCGGUCUCUCUCGGAUGGGACUGCCUUCAAAAGGGGAGUGGGAGAGAAGAGUUAUUUGGUAUCUUAUUCCCCACUGCGUGCCCAGAAAGCAUCAUGGAUACUUGACCAGGCUUCGUAGGCCCAAAUGUGAUUGUAAACAAGAUUAGAAAAUGUCACAUUACAAAUUCUGGAAAUAUGUGUGUAAAAUGAUUGCUUUUAAAUCUUAAAAUUUGUAAGUCCAAUAAAGCUUUGAAUUGUAAGUGA